rnacentral:lncRNA from 1 species
GUGAUUUUGUAGAGAGAGAGAGAGAGAGAAGCCCCAGACCGAAACCUCUGCCCUUUCCCCAGUGCCCAGGCUGUCUGGCUGCCAUUUAGGGAACAAGUUAUGCAGCAUUUGGGGCCAGUACGGUGUGGUGCGGUGCGGUGCGGCGCAACGCAGCGCGCCGUAUACGUAAUCAUUUUCCUUUCGGCCAUUAAAAAGUUGAUUUUUAUGCGGGCUCUGGACUCCGGACUCCGGACACUGGACUCUGGCUGUGCACUUUCGUAUUUAAACGUGAUUUUAAAUAACCGCAACAGAUUUU